CUCUGUGUGUUUGCAUAUGUGUCCUUCCUCUCUGCUCCCAGCCGUUAAGAGGCCAGUGUUGAUCAGUGGCUGUCCAGGCCUUUCAGAGCCACUGACACGCCGGCAGCACAAUGAGGAUGUCACUGACUCUACUGCUGGCCACCCUGGGGCUCCUUGUUCAGGAUUCAUCAGGAGAAAUCAUCCUGACUCAGUCUCCUAAAGCUCAGUCUGUUGUUCCAGGACAGACUGUCUCUGUCAGAUGUAAAGCCAGUUCAAGUGCUGGUACUUGUCUUAACUGGUACCUUCAGAAACCUGGAGAAUCGCCCAAACUCUUGAUUUAUUAUUCUACAAACCGUCAGUCUGGAGUUUCAGGUCGUUUUAGUGGAAGUGGAUCUGGAACUGACUUCACUCUGACCAUCAGCGGAGUUCAGACUGAAGAUGCAGGAGAUUAUUACUGUCAGCACUGUAACAGCUGGCCGUUCACACAGUGAUAUAACGUCGUACAAAAACCUCCCUCAGCUGAAGAGGAACUGAUCUCAAUCAACAGCUGCAUGGAAACUAAACAGCAACAAGAUACAACUAAAACACACCUCAUAAUUACAUGUAGUUCUAAUAAUGCGGCAUUUAAAAUAAUCAAUCACAUUUUCAUUUUUUUUUCGCACGUUAUUUUUUUUUAGGCAAAGAUGAAUGUUUUAACCUUUGAGUUUGAGUCAACUGAUGUCAAGUCUCUCAUCAGACAGGUUUAUACAGAUAUGUUAGUUACUGUAAUUAUAUCUAGAGUUAAUAAUAUUAUAAAAUUAAUAUUUUCCCACAAUGCAUUGUACAUCUACAGUAGCUGAACACAGUUUACAGAGUAAUAAACUCUCUUUAUAUAUGUGUAGCACCCCAACACUCAGUAAAUGCCUAUGUUAAAGGAACUCACCUUGGACUUGAAUGAUGGGGUGUUUGGGUUCGAUUCAUUAAGGUAGCUACCACGAAGGUUUACCUGUUUUGUGUGCAACUUUUUAUAGCCUAAUACUUUAUGAAUAACCAACAACACUGUUAGACUAAGCAGUGGCUCUAUUCACACAUACUGUACACUAUUUUAAAUAACUGACCCCAGACAACUCUUUCAAAUAAAUAAAAUAAUAUUUUACUAACCAGUGGUUUGCAGUGUAACACAAAUAAUAUUUACUUUGUUAGUUAAGAAGAAACAAAAAUGAAAUAACACAAUUACCCAAAUUAGACUUCUUUAAAAUAAAAAUAUUAUAGUUGAAAUACUAAAUUGUAAACGAAAUACCCUUUACCAAAAUUGGCAAAACACUGUAGAAAAUCAGACACUUGUAAUAAGCAAAAUAGAUUUGGCAAUAUCAAAAUACUAUUCAAAACUUAAAUUAUCUCAGGUCUCUAACAUUCCUAGUUCUUACCACUUUAAUAUGAUUUACCUGUACUCAUCAGACAUCAAAUGCUACUUAACUAAACUCUAAACAAAACAGUGGGCCCACACACACACACACACACACACACACACACACACACACACACACACACACACACACACACACACUGUAUAUAACUAAUAUAAUGUUAAUAAUGUAUAUAUCUUUCAUAUUGUGUAUUGUCUGAAUAUUUCGACUUAUUGUAUUGUAUUUUGAUGCUUUUGCUUUGGCAAAAACUUUCAUGCCAAUAAAGCCCAUUUUGAAUUGAA